GUGCUAAGGUAGCAUAAUAAUUUGCCUCUUAAUUAGAGGCUGGAAUGAAGGAACAUACGAGAGUAAAACUGUUUCAUUUUUACCUAAUGAAAACUAACCUCUAGAUGAAGAGGCUUAAAUAACUUAAAAAGACAAAAAGACCCUAUUGAGCUUCAUUAUAAACUAUGUCUUCAUAUUAAUAAUUUUGUUGGGGCAACAUGAGAGCACCUAAAUCUUCUCUUUUUAAUUUUUAUAAUACAGAUCCGCUUUGCGAUCAAUAAAUAAAGCUACCAUAGGGAUAACAGGCUAAUUCUUUUUGAGAGACCAAAU
rnacentral:rRNA from 1 species